rnacentral:rRNA from 10 species
CUCGGAAGCUAAGCAGGGUCGGGCCUGGUUAGUACUUGGAUGGGUGACCGCCUGGGAAUACCAGGUGCUGUGAGC